GUGGAGGUGUCUAUGGAAAUUUUGCUAAUGGAAAUGGUAUGGGACAAUCUGGUGAUGGUAAUUCAACUAUCAUUUGUCAAAUCUGUUUUAUACCGGGUCAUGGAGCUCACAAGUGCAAGAAUAGGUACAAUUCUGCUUUUGUACCUUCAAGGAAUCAAGCAAGAGGAAAUUUUAAUGGCAAUUUUAGGGCUGGUCAAAGGAAUUUUGGAAGGGGAUUUGGAAAUUCAGGUGGCAGAUUUUUUAAUGGUGCUUAUGGCAGAGGGUUUAAUUCUCAAUUUGGCAAUGUCUUUACUAAACAUAAUGCUGGAAAUUUCAAUUUGCCAAGAGGUCCAGGAUAUCAAAGCUAUGUGAUGUGCUCAGAUCCAGCUGCUUUUUAUGUUACUCAACCUGGUAGCUCCACUAAUGCAAGUUCUUCUGCUUCUGGUUUUGGUUUUACUGGAGAUUACAGUGGCUGCUCUCCUUCCGCACCCACAGUUCCUACUCCUGAGAUGGUUGAAGAUCCCACCUGGUACAUUGACAGUGGUGCAACUAAUCAUAUCACCAAUGAUGCAGGUAAACUUCUUGAACCAAAAUCUUAUAGUGGAAGUGAAAAGUUGCUUGUUGGUAAUGGUUCUUCUCUGCAUAUUAAACAAGUUGGAUCAGUAUUGCUAGCCACAACUACAUCUGAAUCUUUGUUGCUAAGUCAUGUUCUUUAUGUUCCUCAAAUAACAAUUCCAGAUUCUUCUUCAUAACUUUUCUUCGUUUUCUCAUUGUUUUUCUUACUCUCCAAACACAUAAUUACAGAUUCUUUCAUGGUAUCAGAGCAAUCAAUGAUGAGCUCGAAUCAAACCUCUGGAUCUUAUAGUUUUGUUACUCCUGUGAAACUCGACCAGAAUAACUUCAUUGUUUGGAGAACUCAGAUUUUAACAACGAUUAAAGGUAACAGGUUGGAGAGCUUUAUCAAUGGUGAUCGAGCCUGUCCAGAGCAAUUUCUUCCAUCAGCUGUCACUGGAGCUAUUGAUUCAACAAGAUCAAAGGAUUGAGAAAUUAAUCCAGAGUUUUUAGCUUAGGUGAAGACUGAUCAGUUGAUUCUGAGUUGGAUGAUGUCAUCAAUUCAACAAAAUUUGCUGGCAACGGUGAUUCAUUGCUCUACUGCUAAAGAGCUUCUGGACACACUUACUAGUAUGUUUAUCUCACAAUCUCAGGCUAGAAUAAUGCCUCUUAAAAUGCAGAUUCAAACACUUAAAAAAGGCUCAAUGUCAAUGAUUGAUUAUUUUGCUAAAAUGAAAAGGUUAUCUGAUAGCUUAGCUCUGGCUGGAAAACCUGUUGAAUUGAAUGAUUUUGUUCAAUAUGUUUUGACUGGAUUGGAUUCCUCAGAUUAUGAGUCUCUUGUUACGAGCGUCUUAGCUAGAGGUGACAAGAUUAAUCUUGAUGAGUUUUACUCUUUACUGUUAAGUCAUGAGAAUAGAGUUGAGCAGAAGAGAGGCAAAAUUGCUAGUGAUGUUACUCAUAAUUUGUCAGCUAAUAUGGCAUAAAAACAGUUUAAUUCUGGAAAAAAUGCUGGUGGUAAUCCAAGAUAUAAUAAUAAUAUAACUUAUGGUGGAGGUGUCUAUGGAAAUUUUGCUAAUGGAAAUGGUAUGGGACAAUCUGGUGAUGGUAAUUCAACUAUCAUUUGUCAAAUCUGUUUUAUACCGGGUCAUGGAGCUCACAAGUGCAAGAAUAGGUACAAUUCUGCUUUUGUACCUUCAAGGAAUCAAGCAAGAGGAAAUUUUAAUGGCAAUUUUAGGGCUGGUCAAAGGAAUUUUGGAAGGGGAUUUGGAAAUUCAGGUGGCAGAUUUUUUAAUGGUGCUUAUGGCAGAGGGUUUAAUUCUCAAUUUGGCAAUGUCUUUAC
rnacentral:lncRNA from 1 species